rnacentral:rRNA from 1 species
GAUGAACGCUGGCGGCGUGCUUAACACAUGCAAGUCGAACGAUGACCCCGUGCUUGCACGGGUGAUUAGUGGCGAACGGGUGAGUAACACGUGAGUAACCUGCCCCCGACUUUGGGAUAAGCCCGGGAAACUGGGUCUAAUACCGGAUAUGACUUCUUACCGCAUGGUGGGUUGUUGAAAGAUUUAUCGGUGGGGGAUGGACUCGCGGCCUAUCAGCUUGUUGGUGAGGUAAUGGCUCACCAAGGCGACGACGGGUAGCCGGCCUGAGAGGGUGACCGGCCACACUGGGACUGAGACACGGCCCAGACUCCUACGGGAGGCAGCAGUGGGGAAUAUUGCACAAUGGGCGAAAGCCUGAUGCAGCGACGCCGCGUGAGGGAUGACGGCCUUCGGGUUGUAAACCUCUUUCAGUAGGGAAGAAGCGAAAGUGACGGUACCUGCAGAAGAAGCGCCGGCUAACUACGUG